rnacentral:lncRNA from 1 species
GGCCAGUGCUUGCAUUUAUGACUAUUAAUGGUCACAGUGCAUUCAUUACAUUACAGUGAUGAAAGAAUGGUGGUUUACCAGCUGUCUGCUAGUGAGUCUCUCUAGCCUAACAUAGUGCUUAUCAACCGCUCAAUAGACUGUUGCUAAAUGAGUGAAUGAAUUUGCAAGGUCAUCUUCAAAUCCAGCACACAUUGGAAACAGGAGAAAAGAAGGAGCCAGAACAGAUCCCACCACAGUUUCUGCACACAAUGAGAUGGGCUGAGAGAACAGAACAUGAAUGGGGAGCUGGUGAAGUGUGGAAGAAUGGGAAAACAGGCAAGAGAGAUGAAGGGAAAGGAUAAAGUCUGGAUUUAACACAUUUCCUUUAUAUCAAUAACUCCCUAACAUUGACAUUAGCAUCUUGCUUACCACAUACCUCUAAGUAUGCUCAGGAAGUUGUAACUCAAUACAGAGAUAUCAUGUGUUAUAACUACAAUUACUGAUCGAUGUACACUCCUUU